GACGAACGCUGGCGGCGCGCUUAACACAUGCAAGUCGAGCGAAGCGGCGGACGGGUGAGUAACACGUGAGUAACCUGCCUUAAACAUUGGGAUAGCCUCGGGAAACCGGGAUUAAUACCAAAUGGUCUAAGAUGGACUCGCGUCCCAUUAGUUGGUUGGUGAGGUAACGGCCCACCAAGGCGACGAUGGUUAGCCGGCCUGAGAGGGUGAACGGAGACAUUGGAACUGGGAAGCGGUCCAGACUAUACGGGAGGCAGCAGUGGGGAAUAUUGCACAAUGGAGGGAAUGCUGAUGCAGCGAGGCUGCGUGAACGAAGAAGGCUUUCGAGUCGUAAAGUUCGUUUAUAUGGGAAGCGGUACCAUAAGAAAAAGCCCCGGCUAACUACGUGCCAGCAGCCGCGGUAAUUC
rnacentral:rRNA from 1 species